GUAUUUGGUAGGGCCCUAACUAUAUGAAACAAUGUGCCAGACAAAAAUGAACUUUUAAAAUUUACUGCAUUUCUAGGGGGAGGUAUAUGUAUCUCUUCCAGUUAUGCAAGAACUCAGCCUUUUGAAACUGCAUCCUGAGGAGGGGAUCUUCGUCUGUUCAACACCUGUCACAUGAAGACAGGAUGAGAGGCCAAACCUGUAUAAAAGGAGAGACUCAGAUUCACGUGUGUGGUAGUUCUGAGCUAAGUUAUAAACUUAGAAAGUUGCUCACCUUGCGAUACCUGAGGUUCUUCAAGAUGCGUCUCCCUGUGGGUGCUUCACUCCAGGUGACAGUGCGUCCCGGCGCUGUUGAUCGGAGACCUUCAGUAGCAGUGCCUGGUCGGGACGCAUGUGCUCAGCUGCUGUCUCACGGCGGCAUUAGGGUCUGCCUGACCACGCGUGCCCUGCACCCCCCUCAGUUCCUUCCCUACCAUCAAGUUGUCCGAUUAGUACUCCAAAGUAGAAGGGAGGAGGGGGGAUAGUGGAGCACCCACAGAGAUACAGAUCUUGAAGAACCUUAGUUACUGCAAGGUGAGUAACUUCCUCCUCUUCUUCAACUGCUGUCUCUGUGGGUGCUCCACUCCAGGUGAAUGAAGCAGUACCCACUGUGGUUGCUGGGAUUUUGGAGUUGUGUAAGGGAUACCAUAUGGUUGACUAUGGCGUCUGCCGUGGUAUCCUGUGUGAUAGCAUUAUGUUUGACAGAUGUCUGUCAAAUGUCCACGUGGCCACCUUGUAUAUGUCUGUAAUACGUACGUUGUGGAGGAAGGCAACGGAUGUUGACGUUGCUCUAGUAGAAUGAGUUCUAACACACUCUGGUGGUUGAACAUUCUGGGUCUGAUAGCAGGAUCUGAUGCAGUCCAAGAUCCACUUGGAGAGUCUUUGCUUAGAGAUAGCAUCACCCUUUGAUCUCUUAGUAGUAGAAACAAAUAGCCUAGGGGAUUUACAAAAUGGUUUAGUUCUGUCAAGACAGAAUGCAAGAGCCUGUCGGAUGUCGAGAAUAGGUAACGUCGCUUCCUGUGGAGUCGUGUGAGGCUUAAGAUGGAAUACAGGUAAGUUUAUUGGCUGGUUAAGGUGGAAGGGAGACACCACCAUGGGGAGGAAUUUGGGGUGGGGUCGCAUAGUAAUCUUGUCUUUAGAGAAAAUGGUGUAGAGAGGGUAGGCCAUCACGGCGCUUAUUUCACCAACCCUUCUCGAUGUUAUGGCAACCAAAAAAGCCACUUCUAUGGACAUGUGGAUCAGGGAUGACAUAGCCAGGGGCUCAAAAGGGGGUUUCACGAGACCUUGGAGAACUAGGUUGAGAUUCCAGGAGGCUACUGGUAAAUGACUCUCAGGGUAGAGAUUUUGCAGGCCCACAAGGAAGCGUUUCAUGGUAGGGUGGACAAAAAGUGAAUAGCCAUCUAGAGUGUCAUGGAUGGUGGUAAGGGCUACGACGUGUACUCUGAUGGAACUGAGCGAAGCCCAUCCUGUUUUACUUCGAAAAGAUGGUCUAAGAUGUGAGGGAGGAUUGCAAUUUGGGGUAUCAGGCAUCUGUGGAAGCACCAGAUGGAGAAGUGUUUCCACUUUUGCAUGUAAGUUUUAUGAGUGGAGUUCCUUCUACUGUGCAGAAGGACGUAUUGGACCUGUUCUGAGCAGGCUAAUUCAUGGGAUUGAAACCCUGAAGGAACCACACCAUCAGAUGGCGUUUCUGGAGCUGUAGGUGAGGAAGCUGACCACAGUUCAGGGAGAGGAGAUCUGGUCUGUCAGGGAGAGUCCUUGGAGGACGGAUGGACAUGCGUAGCAGAUAAAGAUAUCAUGUCUGUGUGGGCCAAGCUGGGGCAAUAAGUAUGACCCGGACCUUGUCCUCUGUGAUCUUGCGUAGAACCCUGUAUAUCAGUGGAAUCGGUGGAAAAGCGUACGAGGAAAUUGUUCCAAGGAAUGAGGAACAUAUAACUUAGAGAUGUGUUCCUGAGUCCCACUCUGGAGCAAAAUAGAUGGCAUUUGCGGUUUUGGAGAGUGGCAAACAGGUCUAUCGACUGAGAUCGUGCUCCUUCCUGCCUGUUCAUGUAAAACAUACAUGCUACAUUAUCCGUCAGAACUCGCAUGGACUUGUUCUUUAUGGUGGGAAGAAAGUGAAGGCAAGUGUACCUGAUGGCUCUGAGCUCUAGAAGACUGAUGUGCAGCUGUGUCUCUGAUAGCGACCAGCGGCCCUGUACCUUGGGGUCAACUAGUUGCGCUCCCCAACCUAUCAGGAAAGCAUCUGUGUAACCAGGGAAGAGAUGAGCACUACCUCGAGUCCCAACUUCAGCUAAGGACAGUUGAGAAGAAACUGAGGGGGGUGCAGGAUGUGCACGAUCAGGCAGACCCUUACAACGAUGUGAGACAGCUGCUGAGCACGUGCAUCCCGACCUGGCACUGCUACCGAAGAUCUCUGAUCAAUGACACCAGGACGUACCAUCACCUGGAGUGGAGCACCCACAGGGACAGCACUAAGAAGAGCUGCAAAAUCCCGUUGAUGGGGUUUGAAAGACUGACUCCUACAGAGCCCUUGUCAGCAUUGGGGUGAUUUCUGUUAAGUUUAUUAGCAUACAUUUAGGUAUAUAUAUUCUCUGUAAUGCUUUCACCUUACGAAUAAAUGUGCUUGCUUAC